GACGAACGCUGGCGGCGUGCUUAACACAUGCAAGUCGAACGGAAAGGCCCUGCUUUUGUGGGGUGCUCGAGUGGCGAACGGGUGAGUAACACGUGAGUAACCUGCCCUUGACUGUGGGAUAACUUCAGGAAACUGGGGCUAAUACCGGAUAGGAGCUCCUGCUGCAUGGUGGGGGUUGGAAAGUUUCGGCGGUUGGGGAUGGACUCGCGGCUUAUCAGCUUGUUGGUGGGGUAGUGGCUUACCAAGGCUUUGACGGGUAGCCGGCCUGAGAGGGUGACCGGCCACAUUGGGACUGAGGUACGGCCCAGACUCCUACGGGAGGCAGCAGUGGGGAAUAUUGCACAAUGGGCGGAAGCCUGAUGCAGCAACGCCGCGUGCGGGAUGACGGCCUUCGGGUUGUAAACCGCUUUCGCCUGUGACGAAGCGUGAGUGACGGUAAUGGGUAAAGAAGCACCGGCUAACUACGUG
rnacentral:rRNA from 1 species